rnacentral:rRNA from 2 species
GGUUAAGCGACUAAGCGUACACGGUGGAUGCCCUGGCAGUCAGAGGCGAUGAAGGACGUGCUAAUCUGCGAUAAGCGUCGGUAAGGUGAUAUGAACCGUUAUAACCGGCGAUUUCCGAAUGGGGAAA